UUCCAGACUCCUACGGGAGGCAGCAGUGAGGAAUAUUGGUCAAUGGGCGGAAGCCUGAACCAGCCAAGUCGCGUGAGGGAAUAAGGCCCUACGGGUCGUAAACCUCUUUUGCCGGGGAGCAAGGGCGGGGACGUGUCCCGGCCCGGAGAGUACCCGGAGAAAAAGCAUCGGCUAGCUCCGUGCCAGCAGCCGCGGUAAUACGGAGGAUGCGAGCGUUAUCCGGAUUUAUUGGGUUUAAAGGGUGCGUAGGCUGUGAGGUAAGUCAGCGGUGAAAUGCCCCCGCUCAACGGGGUGAAGUGCCAUUGAUACUGCCUUGCUGGAAUGCGGAUGCCGUGGGAGGAAUGUGUGGUGUAGCGGUGAAAUGCAUAGAUAUCACACAGAACACCGAUUGCGAAGGCAUCUCACGAAUCCGCGAUUGACGCUGAUGCACGAAAGCGUGGGUAUCAAACAGGAUUAGAUACCCGUGUAUUC
rnacentral:rRNA from 1 species